rnacentral:rRNA from 1 species
GUGCCAGCAGCCGCGGUAAAACGUAGGAGCCUAGCGUUAUCCGAAUUUACUGGGCGUAAAGCGUGUGCAGGCGGUUCGAUAAGUUGGAUGUGAAAUCUCCUGGCUCAACUAGGAGAGGUCGUUCAAAACUAUCGGACUAGAGGAUGGUAGAGGGAGGUGGAAUUCCCGGUGUAGUGGUGAAAUGCGUAGAUAUCGGGAGGAACACCAGUGGCGAAAGCGGCCUCCUGGGCCAUUCCUGACGCUCAGACACGAAAGCUAGGGGAGCAAACGGGAUUAGAAACCCUCGUAGUCC